UACGUAGGGUGCAAGCGUUAAUCGGAAUUACUGGGCGUAAAGCGUGCGCAGGCGGUUCUAUAAGACAGAUGUGAAAUCCCCGGGCUCAACCUGGGAACUGCAUUUGUGACUGCAUCGCUAGAGUACGGCAGAGGGGGAUGGAAUUCCGCGUGUAGCAGUGAAAUGCGUAGAUAUGCGGAGGAACACCGAUGGCGAAGGCAAUCCCCUGGGCCUGUACUGACGCUCAUGCACGAAAGCGUGGGGAGCAAACAGG
rnacentral:rRNA from 1 species